UUACCUGGCUGACCUGGUUCCAAUGCAAAAAUACAAAAAUAGUGAGAAACAGAUUCAAUGCACUGUGGUUGCAACAUCUGAAAGGACCCUGGAUGUCAUUCUGAAAACACCCAAGAUGACACUGUAUGAACUGGGUGUGAACCUCCCCUGUUCUCUGCCCAUUGAGUCUAUGACUGAUCUUUCUCCCUUUGAUGACAACAUUGUUAACAAAAUCCACUACUUGUUUUCUGAAGUCAACGCAGUUAAAUGUAGCAUGGUCGGAGACACAUUGACAACAUUUAACAACAGGAAGUACCCGGUCAAUAUGCCUCUCUCCUGCUACCAAGUUUUGGCUCAGGAUUGCACCAUAGAGCUCAAAUUCAUGGUUCUGCUGAAGAAGGAUCACGCAUCUGAA